GACGAACGCUGGCGGCGUGCCUAAUACAUGCAAGUCGAGCGCAUGAAAUUAUUUGAUUCUCUUCGGAGUUGACGAUAAUGGAAUGAGCGGCGGACGGGUGAGUAACACGUAGGCAACCUGCCUGUAAGACUGGGAUAACUCGUGGAAACGCGAGCUAAUACCGGAUAACACUUUUCAUCUCCUGAUGAGAAGUUGAAAGGCGGCUUUUGCUGUCACUUACAGAUGGGCCUGCGGCGCAUUAGCUAGUUGGUAAGGUAACGGCUUACCAAGGCGACGAUGCGUAGCCGACCUGAGAGGGUGAUCGGCCACACUGGGACUGAGACACGGCCCAGACUCCUACGGGAGGCAGCAGUAGGGAAUCUUCCGCAAUGGACGAAAGUCUGACGGAGCAACGCCGCGUGAGUGAUGAAGGUUUUCGGAUCGUAAAACUCUGUUGUUAGGGAAGAACAAGUACUAUAGUAACUGAUAGUACCUUGACGGUACCUAACCAGAAAGCCACGGCUAACUACGUGCCAGCAGCCGCGGUAAUACGUAGGUGGCAAGCGUUGUCCGGAAUUAUUGGGCGUAAAGCGCUCGCAGGCGGUUCUUUAAGUCUGAUGUGAAAUCUUACGGCUCAACCGUAAACGUGCAUUGGAAACUGGGGAACUUGAGUGCAGAAGAGGAGAGUGGAAUUCCACGUGUAGCGGUGAAAUGCGUAGAGAUGUGGAGGAACACCAGUGGCGAAGGCG
rnacentral:rRNA from 1 species